UGCCCCCCUUCGAAGAAGAGGGGGUAUAUUGCUUUGCUCAUGUCGGUCUGUCGGUCUGUCGGUCGGUCGGUCCGUCCACCAGGUGGUUGUCAGACGAUAACUCAAGAACGCUUAGGCUUAGGAUCAUGAAACUUCAUAGGUACAUUGAUCAUGACUCACAGAUGACCCCUAUUGAUUUUGAGGUCACUAGGUCAAAGGUCAAGGUCACUGUGACCCGAAAUAGUAAAAUGGUUUCCGGAUGAUAAUUCAAGAACGCUUAUGCCUAGGAUCAUGAAACUUCAUAGGUAGAUUGAUCAUGACUAGCAGAUGACCCCUAUUGAUUUUCAGGUCACUAGGUCAAAGGUCAAGGUCACGGUGACCCGAAAUAGUAAAAUGGUUUCCGGAUGAUAAUUCAAGAACGCUUAUGCCUAGGAUCAUGAAACUUGAUAGGUACAUUGAUCAUGACUGGCAGAUGACCCCUAUUGAUUUUCAGGUCACUAGGUCAAAGGUCAAGGUCACAGUGACAAAAAACAUAUUUACAAAAUGGCUGUCACUACAACUUAGAGCCCAUAUGGGGGGCAUGCAUGUUUUACAAACAGCCC